rnacentral:rRNA from 1 species
GACGAACGCUGGCGGCGUGCUUAACACAUGCAAGUCGAACGGAAAGGCCCUGCUUUUGUGGGGUGCUCGAGUGGCGAACGGGUGAGUAACACGUGAGUAACCUGCCCUUGACUUUGGGAUAACUUCAGGAAACUGGGGCUAAUACCGGAUAGGAGCUCCUGCUGCAUGGUGGGGGUUGGAAAGUUUCGGCGGUUGGGGAUGGACUCGCGGCUUAUCAGCUUGUUGGUGGGGUAGUGGCUUACCAAGGCUUUGACGGGUAGCCGGCCUGAGAGGGUGACCGGCCACAUUGGGACUGAGAUACGGCCCAGACUCCUACGGGAGGCAACAGUGGGGAAUAUUGCACAAUGGGCGGAAGCCUGAUGCAGCAACGCCGCGUGCGGGAUGACGGCCUUCGGGUUGUAAACCGCUUUCGCCUGUGACGAAGCGUGAGUGACGGUAAUGGGUAAAGAAGCACCGGCUAACACGUG